rnacentral:rRNA from 1 species
ACAGAGGGUGCGAGCGUUAAUCGGAAUUACUGGGCGUAAAGCGUGCGCAGGCGGCCUCUUAAGUCAGAUGUGAAAUCCCCGGGCUUAACCUGGGAACUGCGUUUGAAACUGGGAGGCUAGAGUGUGGAAGAGGGGGGUGGAAUUCCAGGUGUAGCGGUGAAAUGCGUAGAGAUCUGGAGGAACACCGAUGGCGAAGGCAGCCCCCUGGGCUGACACUGACGCUCAUGCACGAAAGCGUGGGGAGCAAACAGGA